rnacentral:rRNA from 1 species
UGCGCAGGCGGAAUGAUAAGUCAGUGGUGAAAUCCUACGGCCUAACCAUAGAACUGCCAUUGAUACUGUCAUUCUUGAGUACAUAUGAAGUGGGCGGAAUGUGUCAUGUAGCGGUGAAAUGCAUAGAUAUGACACAGAACACCGAUAGCGAAGGCAGCUCACUAAAUUGUAACUGACGCUCAUGCACGAAAGCGUGGGGAGCAAACAGGAUUAGAUACCCUGGUAGUCC